UACGAAGGGGGCUAGCGUUGCUCGGAAUCACUGGGCGUAAAGGGUGCGUAGGCGGGUUUUUAAGUCAGGGGUGAAAUCCUGGAGCUCAACUCCAGAACUGCCUUUGAUACUGAAGAUCUUGAGUCCGCGAGAGGUGAGUGGAACUGCGAGUGUAGAGGUGAAAUUCGUAGAUAUUCGCAAGAACACCAGUGGCGAAGGCGGCUCACUGGCCCGAUACUGACGCUGAGGCACGAAAGCGUGGGGAGCAAACAGG
rnacentral:rRNA from 1 species